rnacentral:lncRNA from 1 species
GCGUGAUUCAUUACGCCAAUGGCGGCGAGCUUUACACCACUCCAGCCGACGCUUGGCAUUGCGCAUUGUGAUCUUAGGCUUGUAUGCGGCUGCUCGCCCAUGAAACCCAUUUCAUGAAGCUCCCGACGAAACAGUUUUUGUGCUGACAUUGAUUCCAGAGGCAGUUUGGAACUCGGUAGUUAUUGUUACAACCAAGGACAGACAAUUUUUACGCUCUACAUGCUUCAGCACUCAAGGGUCCCGUUCCUUGAGCUUGUAUGGCCUACCACUUCGCAGCUGAGCCAUUGUUGCUCCUAGACGAUUCCACUUCACAAUAACAGCGCUUACAGUUGACGGGGGCAGCUCUAGCAUGGCAGAAAUUUGACGAACUAACCUGUUGGAAAGGUGGUAUCUUGUGACGGUGCCACAAUGAAAGUCACUGAGCUCUUCAGUAAGGCCAUUCUACUGCCAAUGUUUGUUUAUGGAGAUUGCAUGGCUGUGUCCUUAGACACCCGUCACCAACGUGUGUGCCUGAAAUAGCUGAAUCCACUAAUUUCAAGGUGUGUCCGCAUACUUUUUUAUAUAUAGUGCAUGUUGUUAAGCAGGUUUGUAGCUGGGAAUCCACUAAACAAACAUUCCUCUUUUCCUCCUGAUACAGAUUAUAUGAUCAGGUUGUAUUUGCUAAAUUAUUUUGGAACAAUGCUUUGAAACAAAGUCCAGUAUUCGAAUACAUUUUUUGAUUUACUAUCCACUGUCUGUUAUGGAUUAAAAACCCGGUCAAUAACCUCAAAGAUCCAUUAAACCAUCAAAACAGACAGUCCAUUGUGUUCAUUUCAUAGCGGUACUUCUGGACCGAGCCUCGCGAGAGUUUGGUGUCAGAAACUUUUGAAGACUGGGAUUACUUCAUUACCUUUACUAACCACAAGAGGGCAAUAUGUUCUUUAUUUUUUAUUUUUUAUGUACCACACUUAUUUAUUGAAGUCCUGUAUAUAGGCUGGGCAGAGUUGAUUGAACCGAUGUUAAUGAUUGGGUAUGACUUUAGAUUUUAGGAUGAAUAUAGAUGGUCAGUAAUAGGUAUUGAUUGUGCAGUUAUAGUUUACUGGACUGUUCUCCUUAUAUCUGGUUGAAGCACAUGAGCAAUCAGAGCAGGGAUGUAACUAUACCUGCCCCAGUACCCGUGCGUUAGAGAUGACGACGAUACCUCUAACGCACAGAUACUAGUGUACCUGCGAUCUUAUUCAAAAACUCUCAUGAUCUUAUAGGACGAUAGUUCCAGCUCAACUGCGACAUUAUGGUAUGUAAUUUAGUGUAUCACCUUUUAUGUUGUUUUGCAUCGCACUCAACAUUUGCGGCAAAAGCCCAAAACAUGGGCCUUACAACCCCCAGAACUUCCAUUAAGAUUCAGUACUUUCAAUGAGUAGGCCUGAAUCAGGGGUGCGUUUACCAGUGCGUAAAAUACUCAUAACAUUGUUACGUCAUAAUUGAUGAGGUUUAAAACUGUACAGAAAAACUGGUUGGCUCAUUCUUAUCUUCGUUGUUGACUGGACGACCUAGUGUUAAUCAUUAGAUGCGCAUUCACUUAUUUUACAAGGAAAAGACACGGAGAGUAAAGUGUCUGAGGUAUGUUACUUUAUAUUCAAUACUGUAGUUAUUGUAAAUGAGAAGAAGCAUUGUACAGAUUUUACAGCAGAAUAACAUCCAAUUGUAUUAAUUUAUGUGGGUUAAAAUGUAGCCUAUAGGCUGUCAUUGACCAAAACAUUUAAGUAAUAGACCAGUCAUAGGCUACUGUAAAGAUAGGCUAGAUGAAGCAUGUAGGCCUUCUUUCUAAUGACUUCAGGGGGUCAAAGGCUAUGACCCUUAGGUUGGGUGCAAGCAAAGAUGACCAAUUAUAUUGACAAGAUAGUCGAGUGGCCUCUAUAACAAUGGAAAUGCAUGUCCUGGAUGGCAGGCGGGAGGGGGUGAGAUCAGGUACGACCAUUCUAGCCAAAGACAGGCCAGAUGCAUGUGUGAACAACAGGCACAACUCCAAUAUAAAGUAGAUUAUUUUCAAAAGUUGCUGAAAUGCCACGAGUGUCCGCUUAUAUCAGUGCAUUCCGAACAACCUAACCAUUCCAAAACUUCUAUUCGAUCAAAUAAGCAUCACUCAGCAAGUUAGAGAUUACAUUUUUUGUUGACUGAAUUUGAUACAAAUAUUCUUCACUUCGUGGUCUUAUUUUUGUGAUCAAAUUUUGGGUGGAGUAAACCCUCGCUUUGCCUCUUCCUCUCUGGUGAAAGAGUUGCAAUAGGUCACCUUCACUAUAGAUAAGAUGUGACCAACGAGAUGGCUAAAGGUGAGGCAUGUACAUGACUUUCUGAUGUCUUUCAGAGGUCAAAAGUGAUGACCUCACCCUCAUAUAUAUUAGACUCACAGCCUCUUGAGGACCCUAUCAAUAAUGCUGAUGACAUGCAGGAUGAAGUCAGAUAUGAAAAAGAUCAGCCUGAUACUGGGAGCCUGGCCCAGUUCUUUGCUGAUCAAGAAAUAGCCAGCCCAACUCAGUCAAUAGCGGCUGAACCGGAGGCAGAGAUGCAGGAGGCUGAUCUGAAGUCAGCUGAACCAACCCAGUCACUCGAGGCUGAAAUAGAGAGUGGGAUGCAGGCUGAUCUAGAGACACCCGGCCCAUCCCAUGUACAGGAGCCACACCAGACUUCUCUACUCAACUCUGGAGACCUGAAACUGGAGGAUACUGAUGUGACCUUCACCACCAUGCCCACGGCCCCCCAGGCUGCAACGUCCCAGAACAGCCUUGUCAGGCUGCAAAGAAGCUCCCCAGACCUCUCCACCUUUGUGCAGGACAUGACUGACAACCACUGGAAUCUGUUGAGUGAGAAUAUGCGUGCCAAGUUAACUAGAGAUGAGUUUACUGCCAAGUGCAUGGACAUUGUCACAUGGGUGAAGAAGAUCAAAUCGACAGUUGUGGUUCCCGCCCUUGACCUCACCAUGCAGAUAGAGCUGACUGAGUUGCCAGGCUCUCCUGGAUCAGGAAGUGAGGAGGCAGUAACUUCUCUCUCCCGCACUGUGAGAUUAAGUUGUACUCAAGGCCCCAGCAGGAACACCAGUUCUAAAACUUCCUGGAGCACACCGACACCCACACCUUUCCCCUCCAGUCACAGGUCCAUGACCUCUUUGCUGAGUGAAGAGGAUGAUAAAGACUUGAUCCCUGGAGAGGUCACAUAUCGCUCAACACCUGAGGGGGGCAAUAGAGAGAUGAGGGACAGACCCUGCUCAGAGCCACUCAGGUCUGUGUUUGGCCUGUCUCAGAGCUGUAUUUUCAAUCAAAUGGUCCACAGUGGAGCAUGCAGGUCGCUAAGUGAGAUUGUACUGCCAUCCAGCCGGAGUAGGCAGAGGAAGCUCAUGCCCAUCAUCGUCUCCACAGACACCAGAUUGGUAAUGGAAAUUGUGGAGAUGGUGAUGAAAGUCAUCAACUCCAGGCUAGCUCAGCUAAUGCUAAAUGUGGGUUGUAGUCAGGGAACUGAAGGUCAUGGCAGCAACUCAGCAAGCAUUCAGUUUGCUCAAGAAAUGCUGAGCAUGGCAACUGCAUCAAUGUAUGCCCACGCAAUGGAGCAUAUUGCGCACGGCUGCAAGUCCAGCAGUCGCCAGUCCAACAAGUCUCCACUUGAAUUAGCGGGGGAGAUGGAAGCCAUAUUGGGUCCUCUGGCUGGACAGGUAAUAGUCACCGUCAUCAAUAGUAUCCUCAGGACUAAAGACAACGGAAGAACUGAGCAGGAACGGACCACCCCUUUGAGUUACUUCCUUACUGCAGUUUCUGCUGAAAUUCAAAGCAUGGUAGUUCAAAGAUCUGCAAGUAGACAGUCCUCCAGGCAGUCCAUCAGUGACCACUUGAUGAAUAUCUCCAAGGGCAAGAUCGUGAAAGCCGUUCAAAUUAAAAUGUCACAACUCUAUGGCGAGUCUACCAAUGAAAGCUGCAUAUCAGCAACUCCAACAAUCCAGAGCCUGUCCAAGUGCUCAUCCAAAGAAUCCCUUUGUGAUUGGACUCUCACCUCAGAUGACGUGCAUCCAGCUAAGUUCCUGUCUAGCAACAGAAUUACAGCGUUGUCGACUGAUGUUGUGGAUGUUGUGUUUGGUGAUGUUUUUUAUAAUCUUGGACUUUCGGACAGCCAAACACAUUUAAGGCCACAGUGCACCGGCUCCAGCUCAUCAAUAGACAUCAGCGGUGUUGCUGGGGAGAUGGUCAGACAAGUCUCUGUAAAACUCCAGUCCUUUGCGUCCGAGAGCAGUCUGGAGGCCAUGUCCAUGACUCACGACUCACCAUCUUUGUCCAUCUCAGACUCUGACUUGAAGUUCUUGUGCUCUCACUCAGCGGUUGCUGUAGCAACUGCCUGCCAAGCAAUUAAAACUGAGCUUGAGAUUGAGAUGAGUCUCAACCCAGCCACAGAGGCCGGCUCCCAGGGUAACCUUGCUGCCAGAGACCUGGUAUCUUCUCUGUCACAGAGUCUUGAGGAUAUAGAUGUUUCUCAUAUCAUUCAGGGCCUUAAGGAGGCAGAUGUGACAUUUGCCAAUCUGAACAAAACCCCUUCGACCGACACUAAUAGAUUAGAGGAAAUCUUAUCUGCCCAUAUUUCCCCUGAAAGUAUUGCAGCGGCAUCGGUUGAUCUUUUUGAUGGCGUAUUAGGAGACUUGCAUGAGGCAUUUGAGGCAAAUAAGGUCUCAGCAGCCACAAAAUCUGGUCGCAAAAAGUUCUGGGUUGAAGUACAUACAAGUUCACAAAACCUGUACACCAAUGCGCUGGACAAACUAAAUAAGUGGUUCAGUUUACACCAUCUCACUAAUGAAAAAGAUGUUCCUCUGAAUACCAAGCUCUCUGCAACUGGACCACUCCUAACUGAGGCCUGUGUGGAGGUAUCUCCUGUGCAAAAGACCAGUAUUAACAGCUCUGGUAUGUCCUUCAGGUCUCUGAGUGAUAUCUCAGACAACCAGCUAACCCUCAACACAUGCACUAAAGAGGUAAUCAAACAGGUGGCCUCAGUUCUGAAGUUUGAGGCUUCUAAGGAAGACUGUUCUUCUUCCGUUGGAGGGAGGACAUUAAAUGUGUUCUUGGAGUUCAGCCAGAAGUUGGAUGCUCUCAUCUCAAAGUUGGAGGACCUCCCCAUUUCAGGUGAGAUUUCCUCGCUCACACAGCCACAAAGUGCAGUCAGCAGCAGCAGAACCUCUAAUAUUUCCAUCAGGAGUAUCCUAAGUGUGGAGUUCUACACAAAGGCCAACCAGAUCGUGAGUGAGGCUAUCCUUGGAGCUGCAAUUGUUUUCUAUGCUCGCAAAGCCAACCAUUUGGAGCUGAAUAUGCCUGCUACCUAUUCACAACAUCUGUUUGCAGCCACCUCAGACAUUGUGAACAUUAUUGUGGAAGACCUAGAGAGAGAGACCAUGGAUACAGAGUCCCACCUCAUACCUAAAAUAGUUUUUGACAAGUUCCUGGAUGCGGCUCACAACAUCUACUACCAAGUGCGGGAUAGGCUGAAGGUCUUCUUCUCCAUGUCCUCAGUGCCUGCCUCCAAAACCAAAGAUGUGGUGGAUUCCAUGCCUGUGGAGAAACAUGGAUACUUUGAGGCCUCUGACACUGCUCAUGACCCGGAGCGACCUCAAUCUGUCAGGAGUGAGAAGUUGUUGACAAAAGACAGUUUAGCCAAGAUAGAAAGGUCUAAAUCCCUUGCGUCUCGGGGUGGCACAUCAACAGAAAAUCAAGACUUUGACACCUUCACAUUGACACCCACCAAGAGCAUGUCAGUGUUGAGUGAUCACAGUUUGAGAGGAGAUUUUUCUCUCUUGAGUGAAAGUUGCCAACCACUUUUGGCUCUCCAAGACUCAACAGUGGCAGUCACUAAGCAUAGCUUCACCAAGUCUGCUAAGACCACCCUCAGCCAGAUCCUAAAUGUGAUCAAGUGCAGAGUGGCUGCCUCAGAUAAUUCAUCUGUUGGACAGAAGACAACUGACAUGUUGGACUCUCUUCUUGAGAGCCUUGACCAGUUGACUGCAGAUGAGAUAAAGGGGACAGCGUCCCACAGCUUGAUCACAGUAGAUGUGCCAGAGUCACUAUCUAAGCAAUCCUUGACAAAAUACUUUUCUACUCAUGAGAGGAACCAGGAUUCUUCCCCUGCAAAGCUUGUGUGUCAACCAUCAUGCCUGAUACCAACAUCCAUGUCUGACACCAACAUUAUAGUGCAAACUAUAAUGGAAACGCUGGUGAAGGACGAAUCAAAGAAGACUUCAGCAGAGGAAAACCUUGAGAGGCUCGUCUCCAUUGAAACCAUUCAAGGUGUGUCAGACGACCUCAUCACAAAGGUCCAUGGUCUCAUUCAGGAGAUCACAAUAAGCCGGCAACUUCAAUCCAUGGCUGGCCACAGGAGCUUCUCUGAACCGGCAUUGCCAAAGCCAGCCCUAAAAAAGCUGUCAAGGAAUGAUGCCUCUGAGCUCGCCUACAGCUUUGCCGAAAAUUCUGUUAGGACUCUCCUGGGGCAGUGCUUAGAUGUGUCGUCCUUUUCCACUGGAGUAAGGCAGACGAUGGAUCAGGUCACUAAGAUAAUGACUAACACAGUGAUGGACACCCUGACUGAUGAGUCCAAGCCCACAGUGAAGUCAGAGGAUGAAUUAGUUUCCAGGUUAGUCCAACCAGAUGAAUUCCCCACGAGGAGCCUUAACCCAUCUGAUGGCAACGCUGAUGUGAUGCCUCGCUCUGCUGGAGGUGAAAAGAAUAGCAAGAAGUGGCGUUUCCUUUUCAAAAUGCCUAGCAUCCCGAAGAUCAGGAUCAAGGUGUUCAAGAGAAAAGGACAAUCCAAGAAGCACCCUGAACUGGAAGCGCUGCCAACAAAACGUUUCAGUGAUAUGUCACUGAAGGUUCCUUCCGCCUUCCCACCCAUGGAGGACCUGAUACCUGCACCUACUGCACAGAAUCCCCAAUCCCGUAAACGCCCCUUUGUGGUUAGGGUGUUUCGGGCCCUCUCUCGAGCCAUCACCAGUGCCUUCAGAGGAGCUUCAGGGAAGAAGCACUAGAUAAGUGCUUGAUUUUAAUAAACAUUACUGCA